CUUGCAUCCAUCCCCAAAGUAAUACCACACAGGCUGGAGGACCUGCUGGAAGAAGUAUGCCCAUGUUGAGGAGUCUGCAACCACGUGCUCUAAGAAAAAGAAGGCACCACCCUGAAAGACAAAAAUGUAUUACUUGGCUCUCCAGCCUUCAAGUCUCUGCCAGAUUUUCAGAACCUCCUGCCUGUAGAUGUCCAGCAUUUUUUCCUCACCCUCAUUUGAUCUCCUUGUUACGACCACGUUUUCUGUCUCCUGGAUUCGUCUGCCUUGCCUUGCCCUUGUCCUAUUUCUGCCGAGCUUCUGAUCUCUGGACGUUGGCCUUGUUUCUGUGCCCCAACCUCCGAGUUUUGCUAAACCCUUAAAGAAGUAAUCUGA